UGGGAGGCUUUGAAGUGUGGACGCCAGUCUGCAUGGAGCCGACCUUGAAAUACCACCCUUUAAUGUUUGAUGUUCUAACGUGGACCCGUGAUCCGGGUUGCGGACAGUGUCUGGUGGGUAGUUUGACUGGGGCGGUCUCCUCCUAAAGAGUAACGGAGGAGCACGAAGGUUGGCUAAUCCUGGUCGGACAUCAGGAGGUUAGUGCAAUGGCAUAAGCCAGCUUGACUGCGAGCGUGACGGCGCGAGCAGGUGCGAAAGCAGGUCAUAGUGAUCCGGUGGUUCUGAAUGGAAGGGCCAUCGCUCAACGGAUAAAAGGUACUCCGGGGAUAACAGGCUGAUACCGCCCAAGAGUUCAUAUCGACGGCGGUGUUUGGCACCUCGAUGUCGGCUCAUCACAUCCUGGGGCUGAAGUAGGUCCCAAGGGUAUGGCUGUUCGCCAUUUAAAGUGGUACGCGAGCUGGGUUUAGAACGUCGUGAGACAGUUCGGUCCCUAUCUGCCGUGGGCGCUGGAGAACUGAGGGGGGCUGCUCCUAGUACGAGAGGACCGGAGUGGACGCAUCACUGGUGUUCGGGUUGUCAUGCCAAUGGCACUGCCCGGUAGCUAAAUGCGGAAGAGAUAAGUGCUGAAAGCAUCUAAGCACGAAACUUGCCCCGAGAUGAGUUCUCCCUGACCCUUUAAGGGUCCUGAAGGAACGUU
rnacentral:rRNA from 1 species